UACGGGGGGGGGCAAGCGUUGUUCGGAAUUACUGGGCGUAAAGGGCUCGUAGGCGGCCAACUAAGUCAGACGUGAAAUCCCUCAGCUUAACUGGGGAACUGCGUCUGAUACUGGAUGGCUUGGAUUCGGGAGAGGAAUGCGGAAUUCCAGGUGUAGCGGUGAAAUGCGUAGAUAUCUGGAGGAAUACCGGUGGCGAAAGGCG
rnacentral:rRNA from 1 species